GUAAAAAGUAGACAUAUUUUUAAAAAAAAUAUUAUUAUGAAUAGUGCACUGUAUAAUUUGUAAAAUGUUUAUUGUGAAGUCUUGGGAAAUUGUGAAACUUUAGAACUGUGUUGAGAUGUCUAUAUUCAAUCUUCAAUGAUGGUCAGUGCAAUGGAGGACAAUAGAAUAUUGCUCUGUGAAGAAACAUACUUUUUUAUAUCAAGAAAGAUCCAACAACAGUUAUCAAUGAUAUCUAAAGAGACAAAAGACUGAGAAAUACUAAAAGCUCAAAUUAGUAUUCUUUGAGAUUGAUGGAAAUGUACAAACAACUGGCACACUAAAGCUAAAAGUAAUACUAAAUAAAACUAUGAACUUGUAUAAUAACAUUUAUGUUCUAUUGUGAAAGACAUGUUUCUACAUACUGUUCUAUAAUGAAGACACGUUUCUCGUAACAUAAUGGUCUAUAGUGAAAGACAUUUUAUAGUGAAGACACAUUUCUAGAUAAUGUUCUAUGGUGAAAUAAGAUGUUCUAUAGCACAAACAGAUGUUCCUUAGUUGCAAUGAAGUGUUCAGACGACAGACAGUGUUUCCUUUUGCAAUGAAGUAUCCAGAAGAUUUCCAGCUCUUCGUUACAUAUUCUGCUGUUUUCUCAAGAAAAACACAAGGUACUGAUAGUUUAAGUCUGUAAAAAGUUUAAUAUAUGCACACAAUUUAAGAAUUUAAAUGGCCAAACCUGUUAGUGUGGAUUUAUUGUGAUAUUCUAGUUCUAGAUUUAUGAUCCUCUUUGAAUAAUAAUUUAGAUUAAAGUGAUGGAAAUUUCUCCCUUGUAAUAUCAUUUUGAUAGUGUUUUGUAAUUUUUUUCUGUUGAAUAUGAAGAAUUUUGAAUUGUGUAUGACUUGAUAAGAUAAUGAAAAGAAAAGUUAUAUUAAAACUUUCAAUAAAUACUUUUUGGCAAUUCUUUUCCUCAGUUGAAAACAUUGAAAAUGCCUAUAAAAACAAUAGGUUAAUAUUUCAUCAGAAUGUAUUGUAAGGCAGCAUGCUAUUUUGAAUGUUGGUUAUCUGCAUGGUCAGCCUAAACUGAUUUUACGUGUAAAAAAAAUAAUUGAAUGCAAACAAGGGGAAAUAAUAUAUCAAAUUAUUUUAAAAGAAAAAUACCAGUUAGCACUUGAAAAAGCUUAAAAGUAAGAACUGUACCAGGCUUACAUCUUACUGCAAGUUAAAGUUGGCACCAACUACCAAACUGAGGGAAUUCUUUGCAAAAUGGGAAUCUUUUUCCAACCAUUUAUUGAAAAACUAAUAAUGAACAUAUAUAGUAUUGAUAGAAAAAGAAAAAAAUAUAUAUAUUUAACAAUAAUGUCAUAUCUGUGACAUUAAGAUGAUGUGGUAUGAUUGCCAAUUGAGACAUCUAUAUAGCAGUGACCAAAUGAAAUCAAUUAGUUUGACAAUCGCCUUAUUAUAGAAUUUAAAAAAAACAUAUGAAAUCUUAAUUAAAUAGUUUUAAUUUAAAAGAUUAUUUCAAGUCUAAGUAUGUGACUGCCAUUCAUAAAAAUGCAUUAUUUUUAUUCCAGAUUUCAAUGUUCAACCUGAAAGUAGAAAUUCUUAAAAAUUUAUGCUGGACAUCUCAAAUCAUGGAUCCAUCCCAAUACUGGAUAUCUACAGAUAUAAGACUUAUGGAAAAUAUUCUGAUAAAUUAAUGGUAAGUGUUUACAUUAAGGAAUAUAGUGGGUUGAUUGUGGUCCAUUAUGCAUAACACCUGAAUUAAUAUGGAAUUGGAACCAUUUUACAGCACUAUAAUAGAAGCCAGCAUAUGCUUUUUAAUAUUCAAAACUAAACAAAAUCUAUUUUCAAAAUACCUAGUAAUUUCUUGUAAUUGAGUGUCAAUCUGUUUGGCAUUUUUGAUUGGAUUGAUAAAAAAGUACUACUUGGAUAAAUGUGAGAUGUAUUGGUCCAAAUAAUGAGUUCAAAUUGUUUUAAGUGUUUAAGGGUAUUCUCACUGUUUUCAAAAUACUGUAAAAUUCUGAAUAUCCUAGAGCAUGUCAAUAAAUCAGAUAAAAUAUGGGUUCCCAAUUACCAUCUAGACAAUUGUUUUUGCUAUCUUUUACUGAAGAUUUCUUUUGUCUUUUCUAGUUGUCAUUCCAAAACAAUUAAUUUUCAAGGGUAUUUAGCAGAUUAUUAACUGUUAACUUGUGUAUUGCAAUUAAGAUAACAAGUUAUACCAUGUGCCAAGUAGACAAUUGAUGAUUGGUGUAUUGCUCUUUAUCUAUAAAAGUGAAUACAAAAAUUUCGACAUCAUUCACAUUUAUCUGUCUUAAGAUGGUACUGGUACCAAACUGCUUCACUAAAAUUAGUUUGGCUUGUUUAAUUUUCAGAAAAUUUUGUCAAAAUGUUUACUUUGACCAUAUGGCAAAAAUAUAAAGAUUUAAAAAAAACUUGGAACCACACACUUUAUCGUCAAAUUUUCAUUAGACAAAUAGCAGUUUAACUAACAACAAUUUUGAUCAUGGAGAAGCUUAAUAUUUCCUGAACAAUAGGCCGUAAUUAAAACGUUCAGCUGAUUUUUGCAGAGUUAUCUCCCUGUUGUUUUAUGAACCACCUCAAAUGCAUUUCUUUGUCUUUUGGAAUAAAUAAAUAUUGUUAAUCAGAUGAUCCCAAAAACUAUGAAAUAUUUUCUGUGUUUCAGAUGUACGACCAAUUCCUGCCUCAAGUAUCAAACCAGCAAAACUUAUCUUGAUAGGAGUAAAUCAUACCACUGAAUCUCGCUUCGUACAAGGUUGAUAAUCAGCAAAAUUAUUUAAUGGGAGUAAAACAUGGGAGCAGGAUCUCACCUCAUACAAGGUUGGUAUUCGUUAACUUCCAUAGUGAAUCAAUUAUCUGUCCAUCGAUCUGAUGUCGCAAUGUUCUAAUAAAAAUUAGAAGAUGUGGUAUGAUUGCUGAUGAGACAACUCUCUAUCAGAGACAAAAUGAUGAAGAAGUUAACAAAAUAUAUAUCUUUCAUGGUUGGCAACUUUGAGUUCCAAUGAGACAGAGCUGCUUAAAAACUAGCUGUUUCACUGGGUCAACUUAUGAAUAUGAUGUACUGGAAAAUAACCAGUUGAUUAAAGUAACUACUUUUACUGUUCUUUAUCAUAACAGUUGCUGCGGUGUCUUCAGCUAUGUACUGAAAUGCUUAUGCUUAGCAAUAAUGGCAAGACAACCCCUAUUGUCAACUUGAACAUUGUAUGUUCAAUAACGGUAACAUUACUCCAACUGGAGGUAUCAACUGUAUUAGAUAGAAGAAUAUUAGAAGUGAAAGAAAUAAGUCUAGAUGUAUUUUGGUUAUUUUUCUCAUACACUUCACCUCCUUGUAUUCAUAUCUGAAUGGCUGUAUUAAGACUUUAAUAUACUGAGCCUGUUGAGGAACCAAAAUCAGGGGAAACAUUUCUAUGGGGUGUAAUUAAGUAUUAAGAAUAGUACUGAACUGCUCACCAUUGUUGCUGUAAAACCUUCAAAAUUCAAGUACUGUUCCUAUUUUCUUUUAUUAUCCAUUUGAAUUAACUGAUUAAAUUGUUGUUUGUAGGGAGGAGGGACAAUUGAAGUGAUGAACUAAUACACAUCUGAAUGAUGUACACAAGAAAAACAGACCACAUAGAAUAAGGAAAAAAAAAGACCAACUCAUAGAGUAAAGGAUAGAUGAAAUUAGAAAAAAAACCUGAAACUAACCAACAUACCAGCUGACUUACAUUAGAACUGACCCAACUGAUGGACAUAGUCAACUGAUGAUCAUAGAACAAACUUUAACAUAUUAACAUCAUAGUAAAACAAUCAACAUGUCAGCUGCCUUAUCACCAACUAAGAGGUUAGAGCUGACUCAACUGAUGAACAUAGUCAACUGAUGGACAUAGUCAACUGAUAGACAUAAUCAACUGAUGAUCAUAGAACAAACUUUAACAUAUUAACAUCAUGGUAAAACAAUCAACAUGUCAGCUGCCUUAUCACCAACUAAAAGGUUAGAGCUGACUCAACUGAUGAACAUAGUCAACUGAUGAACAUAGUCAACUGAUGAACAUAGUCAACUGAUGAACAUAGUCAAAUAGUCAACUGAUAAACAUAGUCAACUGAUGAACAUAGUCAACUGAUGAACAUAGUCAACUGAUGAACAUAGUCAACUGAUAAACAUAGUCAACUGAUAAACAUAGUCAACUGAUAAACAUAGUCAACUGAUGAACAUAGUCAACUGAUAAACAUAGUCAACUGAUGAACAUAGUCAACUGAUGAACAUAGUCAACUGAUAGACAUAGUCACCUGAUAGACAUAGACAUUUAAUAUAUUAACAGCAUAGUAAAACAAUGAACAUGUCAAUAUUAACAGCAUAGUAAAACAAUGAACAUGUCAAUAUUAACAGCAUAAUAAAACAAUGAACAUGUCGGAGACUAAUAUUCUUGUCAAUUAAAAUAUAUGACUGAAAUUUCAUAAUUGCAUAUGGUCAGUUGGAGAGAGAGAAAUAUGUAGAAUGUUCAAGAGUGGGAAAGGGAGCACACUCAUGUAUGAUGAUGAGAGAGAAGAACUAUUGCAACUUUAAAUUUGUCUUCAACCAAAUACAUGGCUUUUGAUAAGGGACGACAAAACCUAUUGUUCUUUAUUUAUUACAGUCUAAAAGUGUCAUAGAUAAGCACUAUUCUUAUUUUGAAUGUCUUUGCUUAUACCUCUAACCUUAGACAUGCAUCCCAUAUUUUUAUUAUCUAGAGCUCUGUAAAAAAAAAA
rnacentral:lncRNA from 1 species